CCUCUGUUGUGGAGAAGCUCUUGCUGCUCAACUUUCCAAGUCCUCUGUUUGAGGAACUUCCAUUCCCUUUUCAUUCACAAACAGGUUUUGGGCAGCAGGACACUAGCAUUGCUGCUACUGAGUGCUGGUUGGUUGGUGAGUGGAGCAGCUCAUUGGUUGUUUGGGGCCACAGAUGUCCUGAACCUACAUGAGUGUUUCUCCCUCUAGUGUUUAUGGAACCUGGAAGAUAUUAGAGUGGAACACACCCUGGAGGUAGUGCUACCUCUUCAUCCUCAGAUGUUGAACUGAUAGCAGAUUUGAUGGUACAGUGAGUCACUAUCAAAGUGGUAUACAAGACAUGAUGGACCAGGGCUAACUGGUUAGCUUGCUAACUUCAGUAGAUAUCUCUACAACACGAUGGACAUCUUUGACAAUGUCAGAACUGUUAUUUCUUCACAUUCUGUUUAUAAUUUUGAAACAUUUUAAAUUAAAAACAUAUAAAUUCAAA